AGUGAACGCUGGCGGUAGGCCUAACACAUGCAAGUCGAACGGCCGCACAGUAAGAGCUUGCUCUUACGGGUGGCGAGUGGCGGACGGGUGAGGAAUACAUCGGCAUCUACUUUUUCGUGGGGGAUAACGGAGGGAAACUUCCGCUAAUACCGCAUACGACCUACGGGUGAAAGCAGGAGAUCUUCGGACCUUGCGCGUUUGAAUGAGCCGAUGUCGGAUUAGCUAGUUGGCGGGGUAAAGGCCCACCAAGGCGACGAUCCGUAGCUGGUCUGAGAGGAUGAUCAGCCACACUGGAACUGAGACACGGUCCAGACUCCUACGGGAGGCAGCAGUGGGGAAUAUUGGACAAUGGGCGAAAGCCUGAUCCAGCCAUACCGCGUGGGUGAAGAAGGCCUUCGGGUUGUAAAGCCCUUUUGUUGGGAAAGAAAAGCAGCAGGUGAAUACCCCGCUGUUCUGACGGUACCCAAAGAAUAAGCACCGGCUAACUUCGUG
rnacentral:rRNA from 1 species